CUAUACUGCAGUCGAGCGGACAGAAGGGAGCUUGCUCCCGGAUGUUAGCGGCGGACGGGUGAGUAACACGUGGGUAACCUGCCUGUAAGACUGGGAUAACUCCGGGAAACCGGAGCUAAUACCGGAUAGUUCCUUGAACCGCAUGGUUCAAGGAUGAAAGACGGUUUCGGCUGUCACUUACAGAUGGACCCGCGGCGCAUUAGCUAGUUGGUGAGGUAACGGCUCACCAAGGCGACGAUGCGUAGCCGACCUGAGAGGGUGAUCGGCCACACUGGGACUGAGACACGGCCCAGACUCCUACGGGAGGCAGCAGUAGGGAAUCUUCCGCAAUGGACGAAAGUCUGACGGAGCAACGCCGCGUGAGUGAUGAAGGUUUUCGGAUCGUAAAGCUCUGUUGUUAGGGAAGAACAAGUGCAAGAGUAACUGCUUGCACCUUGACGGUACCUAACCAGAAAGCCACGGCUAACUACGUGCCAGCAGCCGCGGUAAUACGUAGGUGGCAAGCGUUGUCCGGAAUUAUUGGGCGUAAAGGGCUCGCAGGCGGUUUCUUAAGUCUGAUGUGAAAGCCCCCGGCUCAACCGGGGAGGGUCAUUGGAAACUGGGAAACUUGAGUGCAGAAGAGGAGAGUGGAAUUCCACGUGUAGCGGUGAAAUGCGUAGAGAUGUGGAGGAACACCAGUGGCGAAGGCGACUCUCUGGUCUGUAACUGACGCUGAGGAGCGAAAGCGUGGGGAGCGAACAGGAUUAG
rnacentral:rRNA from 1 species